AGAGUUUGAUUAUGGCUCAGAACGAACGUUGGCGGCAUGGAUUAGGCAUGCAAGUCGAGGGAAUCCCAGCAAUGGGGGAACCGGCGUAAGGGGCAGUAAUGCGUGGGUACCUACCCUGGGGCCCGGGAUAGCCGUCCGAGAGGGCGGGUAAUACCGGAUGAUCUCGGGAGAGCAAAGGUCCGCCGCCCUGGGAGGGGCCCACGUGGUAUUACCUAGUUGGCGGGGUAACGGCCCACCAAGGGGGAGAUGCCUAGCGGGUGUGAGAGCACGACCCGCGCCACUGGCACUGAGACACUGGCCAGACACCUACGGGUGGCUGCAGUCGAGGAUCUUCGGCAAUGUGCGCAAGCACGACCGAGCGAUGCCGCGUGUGCGACGAAGGCCUUCGGGUUGUAAAGCACUGUCGAGGGGGAGAAAACCGUAAGGUUGAUCUAUCCCUGGAGGAAGCACGGGCUAAGUUCGUGCCAGCAGCCGCGGUAAGACGAACCGUGCGAACGUUGUUCGGAAUCACUGGGCUUAAAGGGCGCGUAGGCGGGCUGCCAAGUUUGGGGUGAAAUCCUCCGGCUCAACCGGGGAAGUGCCUCGAAUACUGGCGGCCUCGAGGGGGGUAGGGGCGUGCGGAACUGUGGGUGGAGCGGUGAAAUGCGUUGAUAUCCACAGGAACUCCGGUGGCGAA
rnacentral:rRNA from 1 species